AUAGGGUCUAAAGUAGUGCACUAUAUAGGGAAUAGGGCUCUGGUCUAUAGUAGUGUACUAUAUAGGGAAUAGGGUCUAUACUAGUGUACUAUGUAGGGUGCCAUACUCACCCUUUCCAGCCAGUCUAAUAUAUGCUGGAUCCAUAUACAGAAUGGAGAAACUCUGUGUCCCGUUCGGUAACAGUUUGUGAUAUAAUGUAAAAUAUGAAUGUACAUAUGAAGAUGUGUACAUAAUGUUUUUAUAUGCAAAGGAUUGUUGGAGAAACGGUUGAAUAAAGAUAAGGUAACUUUUCUAAAAUA